ACAUGCCUACAGUAUAGAAUUAAUGUAUCGGAUCCCAUUAGAACUUCAUAGUUAAGCGCACUCAAGCUAAAGUAGUAUUGGGAUGGGUGACCGCUCGGGAAGUCCUAGUAUUUUACAUGCC
rnacentral:rRNA from 1 species